GGCCGGUGAUGUGAGAAUCAAAUAUUUGCUACUCUUGAUGAUUUAAAUCAGUUGAUGAAUGUUUAUCCACCAAGAUCUCUGAGGCC
rfam:Ricinus communis cultivar Hale ctg_1100012350989, whole genome shotgun sequence.